AUAUUUAUGUAUUCAUAUGUUGUCUUUGUCUAUUAAAUAUGAAACUGUUUUAUGAAUUUUGGUCAUUUGUUAUAUGAGCAAAUACAUUGCUUGGCAAAUCGUCAUCACUGGUCAUUUUUAGGUUUCUUAUACCUGUCAUUUAUUGAAUUUACUGUUUCGUUGUAUUGUCAGUAUGCUGUCAGAAGUCCUGGAGCGAAAGCACAGGCCGAACCCUCUCUACCAGUAACGUAAAUGGCUGAGCUAGCAGGGUUUAAUGUCAUGAGACAGAUUAUGAAUGAGAAUACGUUUACACACGAAAACCCAUUUACGUUGCAUUGGCGCCCAACGUGGGGCCCAGCUUUACUAGAGUCCCCCCGAUUUGCUAGCUUUAGGACCUUUCAUUUCAUUUUCGAACUUCCGCACCUCAUUACUUUGAUUUUAUUUUAAUCUCGAGAAAAUUGGUAGCGACAGUGGAAGGCUGAGCUUGUAAUAUAAAUUGUAUAGCUUGUCAGAUUUUUUCACCGGCUGUGUAACAUAAUGUUGUUAUCAUUCAUUUCAUGUUCAUAAAAAAAAAAAAAAAAAAAAAAGUUUAUUUCGUAAUGUUUUUUUUUUUUACCUUGCCGACAGUGUAUGUAUUUGUCGUGCCUCCUUAUCUGCGAAGUAUAACUAUAGUCGAACGUUUAUAUUGAUGGAUUUAUUUCUAUGGACAAUCUGUAUGUUGAAAGGUUGGUUCUGACACCUGACCAAGGUCAGAACCAACGUAUGUGAAUUAUAUUCUUGACUGCAGCAAGGAUGCGUUAUGCUGAAGAACUAUUUUAUAUAUGUGCGGAAUAACGGAAUUUGGACUAUUUACAGUCAUUGUGUGUCAUGAACUGAUACUUCGUUAAGAUAAGGGGGGUACGAAACCUUUGUUUUUGUAUGUUGGCAAAUUUGAUUAUUUGUGGAUUGUUUUUAUAAAAAGUCAUAUUCAUUGAUAGGUUGUUUUAUGUUGUAAAUUUACGUAUUGAGUGAUUUUUUUUUUUACAAGUCCGUGCAUAGACUUGUUGUGAAUAAGGGAUUGUUUUCUACACAGUCGGUGCCUUCAUACUCGAAUAUAUCUAUUAUAUAUUAUUUGCUAUUAAGGGGUUUAGUAUACGCGUUUUUUUCAGGGUUAUUCUAUUUAUUCAGAUGUUCAUUUUUUAUGAAUUGACUUCAGAUUUGCGUCUUGCGUGAAUGGUCAAUUUUGCCUGCGCAUGGACGUUAAUCUUAGUCAAACGUAUUCAUUGGGAGGAAUUUAAACUUAACUCAAGUAAUUUGGGAAGGUAAUAACCUGAUAUGUUAUGUAAAAAUUAUUGAGUUUGGUGAUGAAAGUUGGCCUUCCACUGGUGCUCUUUUUAAUAAUGAUAAUAGAUUUACGGUGUCUUGUGAUGACAUAUGUUUAUUUAUAUAUAUGGUAAAAGAUUAUUGCAGUGUAGAUUGCAUGUGAUGAUGAUAUAUAGAAAAAGUCAGUGUGCUGAACUCAAUUUUAGAGGUGCAUAAAAAAAAGUACACGAAUACAUUAUUUUUAAUCUUAUUCAUGUAAAUCAUAUACAUGACAGUAAAUACAUGAUUUUAUGAUUCACCCAUGCACAUGACCAGUUGAACAUUAGUAUACAGUUGAAACUGCCUGGAUAUAAUAGGCACAUAGAAAGUAUUAGCUUUGCUCUGGCCAUACAUCGCUACCAUAAGCUUUGGUGGUGCAGUAGUUUUAAGCUGAAUAUAGAUGAUUUAUGAAUAAUAUUGAUACGUGAACUAAGAUUCACAGUAUGGCAGUAUACAUAUAGAUAUAUAUAGAGUCAUGGGUGAAAAAAAAAAUGCACUCUGAAAUAAAAGAAUAGCAUUUGCACGUGAUUGUUAUCUUUCUUAUGCUUUAAUAGUUUGCUUACUGUACUUCUGAAGUUGGGUUUAGUACACACAUCAUAC
rnacentral:lncRNA from 1 species